CGGAGCGAUCCACCGCGCUGCAGGUCCAAUGCUACAGAAAGAAUGUGCUUCCCUCCACGGCUGUGAGACCGGAGAUGCCAAGAUCACUUGUGGCUACGGCCUGCCAGCAAAGUAUGUCAUCCACACUGUGGGCCCGAUUGCACAAGGAGGAGUGGGAGAGGAGGAGAAGAACGCCUUGAGGUCGUGUUACAAGAACAGCCUGACGACAGCUACCAAGAACGCUGCACGCUCUGUGGCUUUCCCCUGCAUCUCCACUGGAGUCUACGGAUAUCCACCGGAGCAGGCGGUGCACGAGGCGUUAGCAACUGUGCGGGAGUAUCUGGAUGAACAUCACGACGAGCUGGACAGAGUCAUAUUCUGUGUGUUCUUGCCGACGGAUAAGGAGCUGUAUUUACAGACCCUCCCGCUCUACUUCCCUGCUGAGGCCACAGUCAAGAGUAAACUCUGAGAGAGUGGAUUGGUCAGAUUUGGUUGCUGUGGAUACAAACUACGCUCAACAUACAGAUGCCUCCUCGUUGUUGUCGCAGAUCGAGACCUCCUUCAGCAGGAAGAUAACUCCUUAAUGGACGAUUGCUUUUUUUGAAGUGCACGCUGGCUCUUCUGCAGAUGUUGAUUAGUUCCUCUGUUUUUCCUACGAAUCAUUGAGAGUGAUGUCGUGAAAAAUGUGACCUUAAGCUGCACUCUAACUUGACCUUUAUUUGUCUGUGAUCAGCUUUGCAUCAAGCUAUGAGUUAUGUGUCCUGAGCUAUUUAAAUAUUGGGAUUCCAGUGUGUGUGUGUGUGUGUGUGUGUGCGUGUGUGCGCACAUGUGUGUGAGGCGAUGACAAAAGCUUAUUAAAAUGAAUCACACAGGCUCCUAGUGUGUAUGAUUUGAUUAUUUCUAGGGAUGCGAUACGAGUCGGUGAACUGGGGCAUCACGAGGGAACACUUUACAUCAACAUUUACUUUUUAGCUUUCUUCCUUCUGAAUGUGAAGGAGACAGAAAGAGGGACUUUGUUCAUCUGCCAGCAGCGGUGGAAAGUAAGUAAGUACUUUGCUGAGGUAGUUGUACUGUAGUUUCCAAGAGUAUUUCUGCUUUAUAUUAAUAAUAUAUUACAAUGCAUUUUUUGUGGUGUGACAAACUCGGAACACACAUCUAUUUUUGCUUUACCUGUACUUUAAGUAGUAAUAUAUUAGGAUACUACUUUUAAUAGAGUAAAGGAUCUGAAUACUUCUGCCAAUUUUUCACUUGCACACCUUCCCCUUUUUUGGACGACCCCAACACCUGUUCAUUUUCAACAACAAGCAUCAAUCCUCCCUCUCUCCUCCCUGUAUUCUCUGUGUUUCUGUUUUGUCUCCGUGCUGUCCAAUAUCCCAUGCACUCCGUCUGGCUCUCUGUCAGAACUCACCAUAUGUGUAUUUAUGCAAGCACCAUUAUGCUUUUCCAUACAGCGCAUCUGUACGAGUUGUUAAUUGUCUGUUGCAGGAUGUGGCCGUCACGUGUCGGCGGGACGCAGGCGGUGAUUUGCGUGAAGCGAAUUGAGAGUUUAGCAAGCCACCGUCCCACCCCUCGACUUUCAUCUGCCAACAACCAUCUUUAUUGAUUCCAAACAAUCUGCCACGGUGGUGCAGACGUACAGGGAGGAGGGGUGUGUAGUUUUGGGACAAAGGAAGUAAAGGGGAUGAAGGGGGAAAAAUAGACUACAAAGAAAAUCAACAGGAAAUUGGGAGAAAGUUCCUUUUUUUUUUUUUUUAUAUAAAAGCUUCAUCUGCCACAAAGGGAUUGUCUUUUCCUCUGCGGAGCUCUUUGAUUCCCUCUCUGUCUGGGACUCCAUCUCUUCUCUGUCCUCUUCAUCGCUCAUUCUCGCUGUUUUACUCUACAGGAUGGUGGAAAAAAUAAACAGAUGGAAGAAGGGGGGGGGGAUAAAGAGACAGAGAGAGGAAGGAUGUAGGAGUUCAAACAGAGAGAGGGGGAGGGAAAAAAAAAAGGUGGCGAUGAGAGGAUGCAGAGCCGGAGGGAGGAUGCAGAGAUGGAGGGGGAAAAGAGGGAAGGAAAGCAUGAUGAAUUCAUCUAAAGGCGUUCUGUUUUUUUUAAUAAGCAGCAGACUGUGAAGCUACUCUCCGACCAGUCACUCUGAGUAAUGAGAGAGAGAGGGGGAGAGAGAGAGGGAGAGAGAGAGAGAAAACAACGAAAAGACGAGACUCAUUAUCCUCCGACCAAUUUUCAUCACUGUCCCGUCAGUAAUAUCUCUCUCUCUGGGACGCAGCUCUUUUUGAAAAUGCCAGAUGAAGAACUAUUAUACGCUAACUGUUUCGUUAACAUGAAGGCUGAUUCUCUGCCAUCUCCUUGAACAUACACUGAUAAUCCGGUUGGCCCAGGAAAUGACUUGCUGCACGCGGCCCGCCAACGCACCUGUGAGUGUGUCGCCUUAAUACCGUCAAUGGUUAAAGACUUUGUGUGUAACAGGGUGUGUGUGUGUUGAAAAAUGUCCACCGCUUGUUAGGUUGACAGUAUCCGACGGCAGUGAACUCUCAGGUGUUUGAUGAAAAAUAAUUUCAGGCUUGAUGACUGCUGUUGCUGACUGUGUUCCUUUCAGCCUAAUACAGUACGUUACUGCCUUGUCAACAUUUUCUUGGCACUUAAACAUAUUUGCUGCUGUUGUGCUUGAGUUUCUUUCAGCAGGGUGACGGAGAACAAACUUCCAAUUUGAGGAGUGUGAGGCCUUUCUGCUGUCUGUGACAAGAAUCUCUGAUGUGACUGCAGAGCCUCCGUCAGCUCAACAUAAGGAUCGCAGUGGGACAGAGGACCGGUGACAUAUUGUGCACUGAGAAUGAACGAGCAGAGAAGUUGAACCGCGGAGCAAAGGAUGCGUGAGGCCCACAGGAUGCCGUUCAGACAGUACUUGGCUUUGCUGGAUGGAGGUAGCAUGCUGGGCUCGAGGACUCGAUACUGAUCCAUAAUCUUCUCCACCAAUUUCUGCUUCUCCCGACGGAGCUCGCUCAGCUUCUCCCUGAAGAGAAACACAUGGAAGCAUCAGCUGAGUAGGAAAGUCUGUUUGAUUCAUUUCAUGCAUUCAUUAUCCGUGCAGGUUGAUGGGAUUAUUCUGAAAGUGUGUAUGUAACGUGGCUGAUGUGCAUGAAUCAGCUCGUUCCUGUAAACUCACUACUGAGAAUUGGAGCUCGCUGUGCUGUUUAAACUGGACUCUUUUUAAACCAGAAGAUCAGAAAUGAGACUGUGUGUGUGGAUGUUAAUGUUCACGGGCUGCUGGUGAGCAGAGGGUUCAGGGUUCAAGCUGCGUGUGUGGACAGACAUAAAGCAGGACUUUGAUGAAUAGCCUGUGUGCUGCAUAGAAGAUGGCUCAGAAUAAAAACACUGAACACAAAAUUGCUGAAAAUAUGAGUAGACCGCUUGUUACUGACACACGCAGCUAUGAGCGGAACAGAUCAGGAAGGUUAUAGAGGUGAGCAACGGUCAGUAUCGAGGCCCGCGUAUAUUUUUAGCCAUGCUAGCGGCAUGAAGGUAUGUUGGUCCAUCGUUCGAUCAGUCCACAGCUUUGCUCCAGACUGUAUAACCCUUCAAAGGCUAUUCAGUUGUUUUUUUGCAAAUACAGUUGAGAGAAGUAACAAAGCAAUUUCUGCUUCGAGCAUGACAGUUUCACACUGGUUAAUGCUUAUCUGUUGUUAUGGAAAGCUGUUAGGAAGUCCUGCUAUACAUGCAAGACUACAUUGCUAAAAAACAAAAAACAGAUCUUCAUGUAGUAGUAUACUUCAAGUAACUGACAGGCUACUUUUUAUGAUACUAUGUUACCUUAUUUAUUUAUAUAUCAAACACAGAAAGCUCUUAAAUCUGUUGUUUUUGGCCAAGGCAGAUAUUCGUGAUCCCCAGAGGAUGAAGCCUACUGAUGAUCCCCUGACUUCUCCUCUUGCGCCCCCAUGAGGCUCAUAUUUGUUGUUUUGAGAGAAAUAUCUCAAACACUAUUGGAUUGAUUGCCAUGAAUUUUAUUCAUGUUGCUCUCAGGAUGAAUUGUAAAUAAUUUGAGGAUAAUGACGUUCCAGCUGUGCUUUGUGUUUAGUGCAAAUUGGCUAAUGCUACCAUGCUAACUUGAACUUUUUGGGAUUGUCACAGAUUCAUACAUACAAUUCAACCAUUCUAAGCAUUUUAGGAGCACCUGGGGAGCAACUUGCGGUUCAGUGUCUUGCUCAAGGACACUUCGACAUGCGGGGAUCGAACCACCAACAUUGUGAUUAAAGGACGACCCCCUCCAGCUCCCGAGCCUCAGCCGCUAAACACGCUAAAUUAGGAUGCUGAACAUAGUAAGCAGUAUAUCUGCUUAGCAUUAACAUGUUAGCAUGACAUUAGCAUUUAGCUCAAAGCACCACUGUGCCUUGAAUAGCCUCACAGAGACGCUAUUGUGGUUUUAGACUCUUCAUCUUGUUUUCAUAUGUCUGAUCAGUAAGUCCAGUUUAUUGAAUGUUUUCCACUGUAAUAAUGUUGCCAUUGGCUCUGGUUAUUUCUCUGUCCUUUCUUAUAAAUCCUCAGUAUGUGCAUCAGCUACAAACCAAAGCAUCUAUCUGGCAGCAGAUCAGUAUCAAAUGUAUUAAAUAAGUUUAGUUUGACAAAGUACUCUUGAAGGCCCGUUCAAUUCAUUUCAUGAAAGCUUACGAGGCCUCCUCACAUGUUUGCCCACUGAAUUCACAACAUUUCCUGCAACAUUAAGUUCGGAAGGACAAAGUCACUGCAUCAUUUGCUCUGUGUCACUCACAACAAAAGUGAUUUCGUAAAGCAAACAUUUUAAACUGUCUUUUGCACUUACAAAGGUCUGGAAUACAUUUAGUCAGACACUUCUUCAAUGAAAAUAAAGAGACGAGACUGACUGAGAAGCAGGAGGCCUAGACGUCUGUGACGUGUCUUUCAAUCUGUUGAAAACACUCUCAAAAGUGUUGUGUUUAUAAGGUAGCUUAUCUUAUAAGGUACGCUUAGAACUAUUUCCAUUAAAUCUUAGCCAAACUGGACAAGUGAUAUUUUGUACAUUUCUGUGUUUGGCCAUCACAUGGCCUAAUAUGUAGCAGAUUAGACUGUUAUGUCAUCCAGUUUGUGAUUUUAUCUUUUCAUGAUGAACUUCCACCCUAUUUAGGAUCCGAGUGUUAGUUUAGAUUAGAUUGUCAUUCCUUAUUAACCACACUACAGUUUACUUGACUCAGGACAGAGACCUGCAUUUCCUGCUCAAAUAACCUGAACUGCAAGAAUAAACACACCAGUUCAAAUAAACUACUCUAAAAAUGCACUGUAAGCCUUUGGUUCUGAAUUUCAGACCUUGGGAUGAUAAUACCUCAUCAAAUAAUUUAGAUGGAAAAAAUACUGAUCAGGGAAUCUGUUGAGGUUUCUGUUAAAGCUUUUGGAACAAGCACAAAAUCUUUUUGAUCUCUGAAGUGGUUUCAAGAGCUAAAUCUCAGUGAUGUCUACAGAACAGCUCUCUUAUUUCAAUAACAUUAAAAUGUUUGUAUUAGGUAGGAGUGGAGAGGGCGACACCGGUACGAGUCAGGUUUGAUAUGGAUUCAAGUCUCACUGACACGCUUGAGGUCGCCCCCCGAGGGAGUCAGGAGCAACAGCGGGUCCAGUCUACAUCAUUAGAAGUGCUUGAUAUUAGAGAUUGUGAGUUUCUAGCUAAUUAUCUUUUGAACUGAGGGUAGCUGCAGAGUCGGGUGAUGACUCUGUGUUCAUCACUACAAACAACCCCUUUUACAAAUCAACAGUCAUUUGAUCUAUUAACGUAGCUUUACCUCCUUCAGUGCGCCCAAUGUUCAGGUGAAAAGAUGUAAAUUAAACUGGACCUAACAAUUAUAGUAUACAGUUGUAUCCCCAGUACCCCUUCCUAUUAAAGGCACCCUGUGGUGUUUUCUUCUGGACAAGUUAUAUUUAUGUUUAUUGUUUCUCACAGACACGCAUUGUGUGUAUCCUUAAAGGCCGACCAAUGAGUUAAAUGCAAUUCCUUUUUUUGACAUUUUGGAGCCUGCAUUUUUCCAAUCCAUGUUUUCUAGUGUGUUCGUUUCCUCUUGUCUUUUCCUGGUGCAUUGCUACGCUUCUUGGUGCAUUACUGCCAACUGCAGGCAGGAAUAUUGCGAUUUUGUGUGCUCUUGCCCAUACACUCCUGGAAAUGACAAGCAAAAUGUGAACACACUCACAUUGACUCACUUCAUAUAGCUACUUAUGAUCAAAAACUCCACAGGGUGCCUUUAACCUUUAGCAACCUAAAUGUUACCCUAAAAUCCUUCUUAAGAUAAAACAAUAUUUCUCUGUUUUGCGUGAAUCACAUAUACAAAUGACACAUACUGUUUUUGUGUUUGUUCCAAAGAUUCAAAGAAGUGAUAUGCCACAAUAAAGGCUACAUCUAUAAACUUUUGUUAGUCAAACCCAAGAUCCUUCCAUCGUGAAUACUUAAUUAUCCUGUUUAUCCCAUUAUCCCAGCAUGCACUGAGGAUUUGAAACAAACAAACAAAAGGGCAGUCAUGCAUAGUCAGACGUCCACAGCGCUGUGUCAGUUCUGGAGAAUGGUCCGGCUCCACACAUUUUCAUUCUGCUAUCGGGGGUAAAAACGCAAUGACUUGAUUGUUUUUCUUUAAACCGAUGCCCUUGCAUAAUAGAUAGCGGUGAUAGCGGAAGGGGAAGAGAAUGCCGCUUGAAAUACCCGGCCGAUGGCAGGUUUAUAGCCACAGUCUACAUCGGGUGAGUAUGAAGAGGAAGGCAGGGGGAGCGAGAGGGAUGGUAAAUCGGGCACAUGCUAACGUUUAUUUUUGUUUGUUUGGGUGUUUCGUUAAAAUAUCAACAAUCUUUCUCCCGAGUUGCUGACUCCAUCUUUAAAGGCGGCUGCGUGGUAGGCUACUGAACUAAAAUGUGCUAUUUUUACAGUGACAUUUUUCUCACUUAUUUAAGAAAAACUAAUGAAACCGUGGUGAAUAAAAAUUUGUUUUUAAGAAUAAAAGCUUUAAAUUAAGCUGCAAAAAGAUUUAAUUUGUGAGAAAUGUGUCUCAUUACACUUAACAGGUGAAACCAGCCCUGCAUGCUCCCUAUUAGUUCUGGAUUAAUCUGAUUAGUCUGGUUAUCAUUUUAAAGGACGACUGCAAAGUGUUGUUGUACUGUGAAAUUGUUGUCUCGCAGUCUCAAAUCUCUACAUAAGUGCUUUUAUGUCCUGGAUAUGUAUACAGACUGUGUUACCGCCUACAAUGUUAACAAAUAGUGUUUUCUGUAACACACAUUACUUAAGUUUAAUUUGAACAACAGUGUUAAAUGUCUUCUUGUGAGGAAACCUGAUUUCCUCUUCAAUAUGCUUCUGUUUUCAGUAAUUCUGUUUUGUUAGUAAUUCCAAACAAAAUAAGGUGUGUGUGUGUGUGUGUGUGUGUGUACUGACUGGUACUCCCUCUGCUGUGAGUAGUGCUGGUCUCGGCGCUCCAGGCUCUGCUCCAGUAAGGCCCGGUUCUGCUCUGCUAAGUGUCGGUUCUCCUCCUCCAUGUUCCCCUUCAGCUGAGUCAACAGCUACACACACGAGACAAUAAGUGUCAAUCACAAUAAUUAAUUUGGUAAGAUACAAAUAUUUAGUUUUUGUGUGUGUGUUAGGGCACAGAUAGCCAUCAAUGUAGACAAGAAUAGCAAAUGUGAAAGAGAGAAAACACACAAUGGACCUGCAGAAAUAUUUAUACAGGUUAAUUUAGAAAUAAUUGAAAAGUAGUCAGCAGUAUUGAAUGUUGCAUCUUUAAAUCUUAAAUACUUUUUAUAGUGUGUUAAGAUGUCAAAAGCAACCGAACAAGAUACAAAGAGACCCAAUUGUUGGUGACUGAAUAGCUCGUGCAUUGGUGCUGCAAUCUUGUUUAAUGAAACCUGACAAAACUGUGAAGCAAAAGGUCAGAGCUCAGCAGCACUAAAUGACUGAAAGGCAGUCUCAUAAAUGAACAAAGAUGCUGUUCAAGGCAGAGUUAACGUCAAAAUCUAACACACAAAACCACAUCAUCUAUGAAUGGAAUUACUUUGUGAAAGAAGUUAAAAACAGGUGAUCCUUCUUAACAUCUGAACACAGUUUAGAAUAUUUUAAACUUUACAAGAAGUUACGGCUGCACCUUUACAUGAACAUCUUUCACAAUUUCCUAUUUGUAAUUCUGUUUCCAAUUAUUUUUGCCUUUCAUAGCCACAGUCCUGUUUAAUCCCCUGCAGCACCAUCAGUUAGCACAGCUGCUGCAACAGGUUAAUUGCGAGACCAAACAGUCUCCAAACGUAACUUUUCCUUUUGAUCAAACCGAAGCCUUGCUACCUCUCCACUUCUCUACAAAACACUGUAAUGAGAAGCCUGGGUGUCUGGUUCCCAGGAUCAAAACCUAACUACCUGCAGUGCAACACAUUCUUUUUUUUUUUUGUUGCGUUAAUCAGAAUCAGAAUAAAGUUUAUUGCCAAGUGGGUUUUCACUUACAAGGAAUUUGCCUUAGUGUUUGGUGGAUACAAUGAAUAUAUUCAGAAAAAAUAAUGCAAUACAGGCAAAGUACUGCAUAAAGUCAAGAACAUACAUUUAAAAUACAAAAGUUACAAUACAAAUAUGAAGAGACCAAUUAAAGAAUCAAACCAUUGCAGCUGGGUUUUCCCCGCACCGCCAAAUCGGGCCAGGAGCGUAUUACGGGGGGGGGGGGGUGGGGGGGUAAUGGCCCCUUCCCCACUUCCUACCCCUCUACUUCAAGUGACCUUGCUCUGACCACACCCAUCUCCGAACCUCGCCUUCAUUUUGAUCUCAACUACUCACCUGUAAAGUUACAGCAUGUUGCACGGUUGCGUUGCUAUGAUUAGCAAGUGUAAAAAUGUCUAUUUGACAUUUUAUAGAUGAUUAUGAAAACUGUGGUGCAACCAACUUACAAUAAUCCAGAGAACUGGUCUACGCAUGUCUUGAAUGCUGCAGGGAUUUUGUGUAUCUGCUUCUUCUUGUACAACAUUUCUUCACAUCUAUCUGCAAACCAGAACUCCUGUACCAGCUUUUGAUUCAGGGUUCAUGAGCAGCUGGAUGCAGCAGCAUAACGUAAGAUCUGCUUGUUGACUUCUUAAACCCUUUACAGGAAGUCAAUUUCCACCUGUUUCGCCCCUCAAACGACUGGAAACUUUGCUGGUUGAAGAACAUUUUCAAUAUUCAGCGCUCGUUUGACAGCAUUGCACAGAAGAGUAAAGCUGUUCUGGAGGCAAAGAUGGUUCAACUCUUUAUUCACUACUUGGUAUUCAGUUUCAGUUUGGCCCAAUAUAUAAUUUUUCUGACUUGGUAAUCUGAAAUUUUCUUUUUAUAUCAAGCUGUUCCUCAAUGACCACAACUAUUGACAAUUCUCUUUAAAACCUGCAAAUCAGACCUAAUACAUUUGGUUUAUUAUGCCCAAUAAUCUUUAGACUAAAUCUAUUAUUUUAUACAAAGAGGGUAAUGUAUUAGGGUGUCUGUGAAGCACUAAAUCCCUUUUUUGCAUGUCAAUGGUCAGCUGGCAGCUUGAAUACAGAACACCUGUGUUUAUCUGCAGGUGUGUAAAUACAUUUCAGUUUAAUACCUGGUACUGGCUGGUGAGGCGGGCGCUGCUGAUGUCCAGGCUCUGGUUGGUUUCCCUCAGGCCGCUGAGUUCCCCCUCCAGUCGUGUCCGUUCCAGCUGCGAGUUGCUCAGCUCGGCCCUGAGCACCGAGCCCUGAGCCAGCAGCUCCGCCUGUGACGCCAACCCCUCCUUCUGCUGGGCCUGCAGCCUGAAACACCGACACACAGCCGGGCUUUACUCACCGCUGUCACUGUUAUUUGUCCUGUGAAGUGUUGCGUGUCAUUUGUUUGGUACGUGCUCUUUAACUGAAGCUCAUCACUAUAUUACAUUAUGAUCACAGAGCCAGAAAACAACCAACAAAUAAAUCUGAUGAUAUCUCAGACAGGUUGAAGAACACAUGAUGGGAUCAGUCGGUGGUUUUAGAUCAUUGCUUGAAAAACAUACAGCUAAGCAGUUUGCUUUGUUUAGUUUUGUAGUAAGAACUACAAUGAGUGUGGAUGAAACUCUUAAUGGUCACUGUGGGGGAAAUUUGGUAAUAUCUAGUAAUUAAACAUCGAACAUUUUAUGCUCCCAAUGUGGAUUAAAAAUAUUUUGGAGUGAAACUUUUUUUGUUAAAGUUAAAACUGAGCAUGGCUCAGCAUUAAACAAAUCGGCCUUUACAUUUGUUAUGUAUAAUGCAAGCAAAUAGUAAAACAAUGAGCCUGUGGUGACCUCUUCAAAUGUUUUUGUUUUGUCCAACCAAUGGUCCAAAACCCCAAAUUAAUAGGGUUGCAAUCAUCGAAGACAAAAAAUAAAAUGAACAGAUUUUUUGGCCACAUAGUGGCAGCAGAAACGAGUUGUGAACAUUGACGUAAUUAGGUUUUUAUUGUGUACGUGUUAGCGAACAGUUGCUUAUUUAUACAUCCAGCAGCUACUGAGCAACAUUACCAUUCAUAUAGAGUCGUAUUUCUGUCCUGCUGAUUAGUAUAAGUCCAAUAUUAACUUCUCUUUUUUGGUUUCCACCAACUCCUCCAAUACUUUGCUCUUUAGCUGCUUAAUUCUCCACUAUGUUCACCAGCUAGUCCCUAUCUGUAUCUGUCUGCUGAGCAGGGAGUGUACAGUGGGAUUUAGAGUUUGUAUUAUUGAAAACAGCUGCGUGCUGCAGUCGAUGCUGUGAAAGGGACCCAGAACAGUAACGUUGCUGCUGGACGACUAAACAAUGAGCUGAAACGCACUAUAAAUCUCCGUAGAGCCGAGAGGAGCUGCAUAUAUAAAGGUGAUAAUUCUUUGUAAGUGUAUCACUACCACCAUUAUUGUCACAUUUUUUUCACUUUGUCAUUUGAUUCCUUAUUAUUAUGACAAUACUGAUUGUCACUUUGAAAAAAUGAAUGAAAUUCAGCAAGAACAUUAUAUUAAUAAACAGGUCUAAGGACGUAUUUUAUAUGUUACUAAUGUAUUUUCGAUCAUGUUUCAUCUGUCAACCAGGAGGAGGAGUCCAUCCUGUUUCUAGAGUAAUCAAUCACAUCAUUAUGACAGUGAUUAUGAAUCAUUAUGGUACACAAGUAUCUUAUAAUGAUGACGAUCAUCAUCAUUAUAUACCACCACCCUGUAGAUGAGAUGUAAUCAGACCCUCCAGCAAGACUGGUCUGUGGCUUAAAUACACACACGUGAUCAAGAUAAUAAAAAUCUAAUGAAUUCAUAUCUUGUGUCUAAAAGCCUUAAAUGUUCUGCUUUUGGAUGAUUUGGAACUGAGGUUAUAAAAUAUCCAAACAAACCUACAUGUUUUUGUUCUUGUUGUCUUGAGCCACUUAAGUCUGUGCUGCUGUUUUGUACCCAAAAGCUUUCAGGAUCAAAUCAAAAUGCAUUCUGUGCAUUCAUAAAGUACAUUUGUAUUCAAACCAAUUCCUGUGUUGCUCCCUGUGCUUCAUAUAGAAACAUUAAUGCUGCUGCUCCUUCAUAGUCAAGGCAACAUGCAUGCGCUAAGAGGAGAGGAGAAAAGGGAUGAGCAGAUCUCAUUACCUUGAUACUGAUUGGUGAGUGUAUUCGUUACCUCUCGUUGUCUUCUUUCAGCCUGUCCAGCUCUCGUUCCCUCUCAAGUCUCCUCUGGGCCUCUGCUUCCAUCUCCUUUCUCUCCAUCUUCACCUCCAGCUCUCUCUCAUCCAGCUGGGAUUUUCCGUCCAAGAGCUCCUUGUACCUUGAGAUUACAAACACAGAAAACGUAGAAACAAUGAUGUCAUAAAAUGUAUGACAGAAACGGAGAGAGAGUGUGUGUCUUCAAAGGUUGUGUAGUUGGAUUUGUGUGUAUAUUUUUGUUCUUGGUUGGACUAAAAGUCCUCACAAGGAUGGAAGAAGACAUUAGGGUCUAAUUGAAUGCAGUCAGUGUGUGUUUGUACCUGGCCUCCAGCUCCCGGUGCUGAGCCUCCAGGCUGCGGUUGUUGCCCCUCAGCUGAGAGUGUUUGUCCAGCAGCUCCUCCAGCUCCACCUCCUGCCGCUGCUGGAGAGCAGUCAUCCGAUCGUGGUCCCGCCUCAGAGCCUCCAUCCUGGCCACCGACUCCUCGCGCUCCCGCGCCCACACCUUGGACUCUGCCUCCAGAGCCGCACAGCGGGCCUCACUCUCACUGCAGCGCGCCAGCACUGCUGCAUGCUGGGAGCUUAGGGAUGCUUGCUCCACCUGUGUGUGUUUUAAAACAGAGAAAUAAGACCAAGACCAAGCAACAGACAAACAGACACUGUCAUAAACAGAGCCAUGCCACUAGCAAAGCAAAGAAUAUGGUGUCUCCCUACAUUAACGCAGUCUGGGAGUCAAACAACGUAAUAUAUCCUUUAGCUAUGUCCAAAUUCAAUGCAAGGGUCUCAUGAUCAAAAUGUGUCCAUUAGUCUUAAUUUAAGUAAACCAAAGGAUUAAUUGAUAGUAGUCCAAUAUGCUCCUUUAAUCCCAAAUUGAGUAAAUCAUUUCAGAUAUAAUAACGUUCUCCAUCUGUGUGUUUGGUCACCUGCAGCUGGGUGUUGAGUGUCUGUAGUCUGGUGCAGGAGUCCUGCAGGCUGAGGGAGUGCCGGCGCAGAGCCUCCAGCUGCUCCUUAAGGUGCUCGCAUGCCUCCUGGGACUGAGACAGCCGCGACAGCAAAGCCUCCUGUUCUGCAAUCACCACCGCUUUCUGAGGGAGAGAAAAAUUUCGUAUUGAGAUGGUGUCCACAGCCGUGUACAGAGGCAUCUGCUUCAGGGCUGUGCGAUACCUUUGACGUCACGUGUGCCUCAAAAUAUCCAUAUUAUUUGUACCUCAUUUGCAGCUGAAAUUUAUAAAGCGCUCAGUCAGGUAGCAGCUUUAUGACAUUUGAGUCAAUGUAUAAACACAGAUGAAUUUCAUCUUGUGCUUAUGCAGAAAUGUACAACAUAUCAAAUAUAUACUGGUAGUCCACAUAUGAUGUUUGUAAUCAAGAUAUUCUACAAGAUUUCAGUGGGUGGAAUUUUUGCAUGAGUAUUUAUGAUCCAAUCAGAAAAUCUGCACACGUAUUUGUUAUUGGCUUGAAGUGUGCUGAUUGGAAAAUAGGAUUGAUAUAUUCAAAAUGAAUAGACAAAGUCGUAUUUUGCAAAAUUACUGGAGGAAAUCUGGUGUUUUUAUGCAAAACAAAAAUGAGCUUGAGGCACACCAAAACUCGGCUCAACCCCAACAAAACAAUGUGAAUUUAAAUUGCUGGCGCAGCAACAACUUUUUCAUUUCGGAUUCUUUCACAUUUCCUACAAGCGCCUGACUGAAUCAUACUGCUACACCGGGGAUUACUACUGUUUUCACUGCUCCUUUAGACUUCCUACUUUUCACUUCACCGUUUUCCCUUUUCACGUCAGUAGUGGAAAGUAUACUUUUUACGUACUUUCUACUUUUAAUCCAUAACAUUUCAGAGCCAGUAAAAUGUGCCUUAAUGCAUCAGUAUUAAUAAUCUAAUAGUAAAUCAAUCCCAGCAUGUUCUUCUACUUUUAAUUUCAGCACAUUCGUCUAAUAAUACUUUUGAACUUUUUGUACUUGUAAUCUCCUUACAGCUCGAUGUUAGAGUUUAUGUGUGUGUCUAUGUGUGUUUGAGACAGAGAGAGAGAGAAAGUAAGAGCUAGAGCAAGAGAGCAGCAGAAGAGAUAAGGAAGAUUAACAGUAGCCGAGGUGACAUUAUAAAAACUGAUGAGCAGAGAUAAAGUGGUAGUCCUGGAAAUAAAGUGCUGCACUCGUGGAAGUGGCGGCCUACUGUGAAUUGGUAGUCUUCAAGCAUCCCCAGAGCAAGAAUUUCAACAUAAUAUAGAUCAUCUCCAUCACGCAGGAGCUGAACCGAACCAAGCAGACAUCCAGAAAAUCCCACUCACAUCACUAACAAACAUGUAUUUAAACACAGAUACACACCUCUCUUUCCAGCUCUAUCAACUGCUCACUCAGCUGCCUCUCUGUCUCUCCUGUGGCAUAACCAUGGGUCAAGGAAAGAUCACGACCUUUGCCAGCUGCAGGGGAUUGAUCCAGAUGUGACGUCUCCUGGGUGUGUGUCUGAGAAAUGUGUGCUUUGUCUGAGGAGUCUGAAUUUGAAUUGGACGUAGUGUCCACCUCCACACUUCCUCUUCUCUUUUCCAAGUGGAGAAGAGAUUCACUUUUCUUAAGGCUCUGGCAGAGCGACUCUAUUCUCUCCUGUGAUUGGUUGAGAGAACCGGUUGUCGUCUUUAGUUCAGCCUCAGCUUUCUGUAGUUUCUGGCACAGACGUUCGACUUCAGUGGACAGUUUCUGGGAACGUUCCUGCUCAUUGGAAAGGUCCUGAUAAGAGAGAGAUAAGAAGCAAUGCAGCGCUCAAAGAUUAGAAUCUGAGGAAAAUAAAACAGUGAUCUACAUCAAAGACAAAUCAAAAGCAUAAAUGCAUGCAUGACUAAUUUUACUCAGAAGAGUUUGUUGGUCAAUACAUUCCUAAAAGAACCAAUCUGUAUAUGAUCACUUUAAUACUAUAGUUGUUGCCUAAUUCCAUACUGCAUACUAAUUAUAUACAGUAAGAAUAAUUGUAAUGCUCACAGUAUAAGUUAAUAGUUAGUAGACAAGAAAUUAAUGUAUACUUUUUCCAGUGUGGAGUAAGCUUUUUGGACAUUUAUUAAUCAUCAUUUUUGCGUCGUCACUGACAGAUGUAGAGUUGCACCACAGUAUUUAGCAUGUAUGCAUUUUUGGAUUGUCAGCAGAAAAUAGUGUUUUCGUUCCAGUGUGGGAAUUCAUAAAGACACUAUACAGUGCAUACAUUUCACACUCAGGAAAACACACUUCCAACCUGUGAGCAGAGUCUCCAUUUCACAUGUGCUUUGCAUGAAGGUACAAUAGUGUCCAUCAACAAAACACAGAAAGAUCCAGCAAACUUGGUAUGGAAAUUGCAUUCUUUGAGAAUACUGACUUUUGUCCCUUUUCCUGUAUGAACACACUGCAUUCGUAUGCAGAACAAACAUAGAACCAUUAAAGGAUGGACUAUUACUAUAAAUGUAUAUCAACAGUUUAUAGAAGGAUGUUCUGCUGUCUAGAUAAGGUGAGAAAGUGUGGAUGAGUUUACCCUCCACUACAUCCCCGCAGUCAGUGAGUAAACUACCACGUCACAGCUACAGCACACACACACACACACACAAACCUGGGACAGUGAAUUAAUCUUGGCCUGAGCAUCUGCAUACUGCUCCUGCAGCUGCUGUUUACCCUCCUCCAUGCUGGUUAAUCGAGUGCUGAACUCCUUCUCAAGGUCCUGUAGCCGAGUGCAGAGCUCCUUGGAUUCAGACAGCUGCUGACACACACGGCUGCGCGCACAGACACACACAGACACACACACAGCAGCAUGGGUCAGACACAGGUUGAAUGAGGAUAGAGUUGACAUUAAAGAUAAAUACAUAGUGCAGCCAAGUAGCUCUCUCUGAUGCCUUGUAAAGUUAAUUGCGUACCUCAGCUUGUGAUCGGGGUUAAGUGUGUGAACAGGAGUGUGUGUGUGUGUGUGUGUGUGUGUGUGUGUGUGUGUGUACCUGUGUUCAGCGUCCAGGCCCCGAGCUCUCUGGUUGCUGUGUUCCAGAGCCAGGGUUGUGCUCUCCAGCUGCUGCCUCAGCCUCGCUGCCUCUCUCUCUCUCUGCCUCCCUUCCUUCCGUUGGCUGUCCAGCUCCGACUGACACAGCUCCUUCUCCUGCUCCAGCCUUGACGCCUCCAGCAGCGCCUGGUCUCGCGCCCGGGCCAGAGAUUCGGCCUCCACAGUUGCCUCACGGAGCUCUGCCUGCAGCUCCUCUUCCCGACGACGAGAAGUCUCCAAACUCCGACCUUGUCGUUCCACCUCUGCCCUGAGAGUCUGAGAGGAGAGCUCUAGCUGGUCACUCUGGAAAAGAGACAAGAUGGAUGAUUAAUGCUAAUUGAUUCUCCACUUUGGAUUAGAGACUUUUAUUAAUGACCAGAAGUGAAACUAGUUUGGUCAAAUAUGCACAGUGUCAAUUAAUGAAACACAAAUCAGACAGGUCACAACAGACAACUUAUGACAGAUAUUAUAACACUAACACACAAACUAGCACAUGCUCCAAGAGGACAUUACUGUAGCUCAGGACACUGUCUAACCACAGACUUUUAAAAAACUAUGUAAUUUAUAAAUGAGAGGCCAAACAACAAGUGAUGAUAGAGGAAGUAAUCAGAUCCUUUACUCAGGUAAAAGUAGCAAUUCCACAGUACGAAAAAUACCCCAUUAAGAGUAACAGUCCUGCAUUAAAAAUUGUAAAAGUAGACAAGUAUUAAGUACCUCACGCAGGUGACAGAAUGCAUAUUCCUGUCAAUAGUUUCACUUUAUUCCUCUGAUCUACAGGUGGAAGAAACGUGCCCAAAAACUCAGCAAUGUGCCAAAAAAGAAAGGAAAGCUUGCAAACGUGGAUGUAAACAAUAAAGUAUUAUCAGCUUCAGUAUGUUACAAAAAUAAUUUGCAAAUGUUUUAUAUGGAAGAAAGUGCAUUCAACACAUUAGUUAAAGUUCAAGGAUACACACAAAGUGUUUGGUGAGUUACACUAAAUGUAAAGAUGACUCCACGGGGAACUUUUAAUUUUACUUUAAGGAUUCAAUCAAUCUUUGUGUCAUUAUUCUGCAUUAAGUGAUAUUUGUUUUUUUCCAAAGUUACAUGGGAUCAUAUAGCUAGAUGGCGUAAUAUCAGAACACAUUAAUUGGAAACUGCCUAUUUCAGACAGUAGAAACAUGUACAGUACUGUUUAGGUUAGUUGAUGUCCAGACACAAUAUCUACAAUAAAGAGUGGAUUUUGUCUUAUAAAAAGAGGGCAGGUAAUACAGUGGCAUAUUACAACAUCAGAAGGAGAAUUAAGUACAACUCUCUCUGAAUGGGAGGUACUCACAAAUCCCUUUUAUGGUAUUUCUUUAAUGCUGACUUAGCACUGCUCUUCCCCUUAGCUUGCAAUUUCUCUGAUGUCUUGCAAUUUUACUGCAAAUAGCACAUUAAAUACAUAAUUCCAUUUUUUUCAGAAGAUCUCAAAGACGUCUACAUCCUGCAAAGAGUGUCCCAAAUAUUAGAUUUUUUGUUUGGUUUUUCAUGUAGGGAAAUGCACUAAAUAAAUUGUGCCAACACCUUU